UAUUCAUUUCGAGAUUUGCAUUCAACUGCAUUAAUAUGAUGGAUUUAUUCCAUGAUUCUUAGUGCUUAAGUCUCUGAUGAUU